rnacentral:rRNA from 1 species
AUUGAACGCUGGCGGCAUGCUUUACACAUGCAAGUCGAACGGUAACAGGCCGCAAGGUGCUGACGAGUGGCGGACGGGUGAGUAAUGCAUCGGAACGUGCCCAGUCGUGGGGGAUAACUACUCGAAAGAGUAGCUAAUACCGCAUACGAUCUAUGGAUGAAAGCGGGGGACCGUAAGGGCUCGCGCGAUUUGAGCGGCCGAUGUCAGAUUAGGUAGUUGGUGGGGUAAAGGCGCACCAAGCCAACGAUCGGUAGCUGGUCUGAGAGGACGACCAGCCACACUGGGACUGAGACACGGCCCAGACUCCUACGGGAGGCAGCAGUGGGGAAUUUUGGACAAUGGGCGCAAGCCUGAUCCAGCAAUGCCGCGUGCAGGAAGAAGGCCUUCGGGUUGUAAAGUGCUUUUGUACGGAACGAAACGGCUCUGGUUAAUACCCGGGGCUAAUGACGGUACCGUAAGAAUAAGCACCGGCUAACUACGUG